rnacentral:lncRNA from 10 species
CUAGGUGACAGUAUGGCACUUCUGAGUUUAAGUUAUGAAAGAUGGUGGCUUUCAUUUAGGUCUCUGGAUCUCUCUCUCUAUCACUUUAUCUGCCAAGCUGCUGUGUUUUAAGCAGCCCUCUAGAGAGACUUUUAUGGUAAGGAAGUAUAGUAUUAUACUAUCUGGCCAAUAGCCAGAGAAGAAUUGAGAUCUCCCAACAACCAUGUGACUGAACUUGGAAGCAGACCCUUCUUUCCCAGCUGAAUCUUCUUGAGAUGUCUGGAGCCCUGGCUAACAGCUUAAUAACCUCAAGAGAGAAUCUGGGCAAGAACGACUCAGAUUUCCGACUUUCAUGGAGGCAGUACACUUAUGAGU